AAUAGGGUGAGUUAGGUGUUGGCCGAAUAUUAAGACUUUGCGAACAUCUCAAAUUGUCAGGUAGGACGUUGGUUUCCUCAAGAGGUCUGUAUCAUUAGAGAUGUUUUCACUGAAGGCCCGGUCUCCAGGUGUACUAAAGAUCACCAAACCCACUAGAAAGUAGACAUCUUGCCUCUACCAAUGGUUCGUGUUCUCUUUCUGGAAUAUGGAACUUUUGCUGCAAAGUGGUUGUAUAGCCAAAGGUGUCAUCUCCCAGCACUCCCAAUACUUGAGGUGUGGCCACAUGACCGAGUUCUGUCUGGUGCUAUGUAAGCAGAAGUCUCCUGUGUCGCUUGUAGAUGAGGUGAAUAAAAAUCUUCUUUGUAGUCUUUCACUCUCUUCCCUUCCUGCUAGCUGGAAGUCCAUGUCCAAAGUAAUCCAGGAAGCUACGUGUGACAGAUGAUAGAGGUCUCUUUAUCCUGGGUGCCUCAAUGACUCCUGGAGCAGAGCAUGGCCUCACCUCCACCCAUGCCUUGCUUGGACCUUCCAUGACCAAAAAAUAAACUCCUGUUUCGUUACACCA